rnacentral:rRNA from 1 species
AGAGUUUGAUCCUGGCUCAGGAUGAACGCUAGCGGCAGGCCUAACACAUGCAAGUCGAGGGAGAAGCCCUUCGGGGCAGAAACCGGCGCACGGGUGCGUAACGCGUAUGCAACCUACCUUUCACAGGGGGAUAGCCCGAAGAAAUUUGGAUUAAUACCCCAUAAUAUUGUUGGAUGGCAUCAUUUAGCAAUUAAAGCUACGACGGUGGAAGAUGGGCAUGCGUCCUAUUAGCUAGUUGGAGUGGUAACGGCACCCCAAGGCUACGAUAGGUAGGGGUCCUGAGAGGGAGAUCCCCCACACUGUACUGAGACAGGGACCAGACUCCUGCGGGAGGCAGCAGAAGGGCGAAUUCGU